UACGUAGGGGGCUAGCGUUGUCCGGAAUCAUUGGGCGUAAAGCGCGUGUAGGCGGCCCGGUAAGUCCGCUGUGAAAGUCGGGGGCUCAACCCUCGAAUGCCGCUGGAGACUGUCUGGCUAGAGUCCGGGAGGGGCGAGUGGAAUCCUGGUGUAGCGGUGAAAUGCGCAGAUAUCAGGAGGAACACCAAUGGCGAAGGCAGCUCGCUGGAACGGUGACUGACGCUGAGACGCGAAAGCGUGGGGAGCGAACAGG
rnacentral:rRNA from 1 species